AAGCAAGGAACCCCUGGCACCGGUAAAACAGAAAAAUGGAUGAGAACAACUUAAUAAAUAAUAGUUCAUGAAGGUGGGAGGAGCUUAGAGUCACCGAAGUGCGCAACAGGUUCGCACCAGUAGAGGCUGCGUUUUUCCUGGCGUCCGAGCAGGAAAGUCAGCGGAACAAACUUCCAAGACUGACGGCGAGUCGUCAUGUGGUGGAUGUUGGUGAACUCUGGAAGCUGCCAGAGGAUAUUUGUCAUAAGAGGGAGAGAGUGAGGACCGGGAGAGAAACUAGCUGUUGUACUUGAGCGUGGUUCAUCGCACGUGUUCCUGCUCGCGCCAUUCCCGUGCCGCUGACGCGCCAUCUUGCCAUUUGCCUCCUUCACCCCCAUCGCCAUCUGACUGUGAGGGUUCGUGAGUACACUUACAUUGUGCACCUUUUUGUUUCUACUGGUUAACGCCAGUGAAGCGGCCAUUUGUUUCCGGCCUCACGAGCAUCGACUGGACCUGAAACGGUUUUAUUUAGGUUAAGAUAAAAAGCCCGGUGUGAAUGUGUGUGUGGGCUGGUGGACAUUGAGUUUGCUGGUCGUUGUGACGAGAUUCUAUUUGGGUUCAUCCGAGAUCAUUUGGGAGUUAAAGGUACCAGAGGAUUAUUUGAGAGUUUUGAAUAGUAUAAGGUCAACAGUGAACAAGUUACAAUUUUAUGAAUGUAAUAAAUUUUCCUUUUGAACUUAA